GGGGGCGUACUUGGCUUCGACGGGGGUACGUAGCGUUUAGUAAGCGGGUCGAGGAAAUUCUGGAGCCUCGUUAAUCAGCUAGAAACUUAAAGAUAAACGCAGAAGAUAAUUUUGCUUUAGCAGCUUAGUCUGCUACGUUCUACCCGAGAGUCCCACGGCUUGGGAUAGGGCGUCGACUAGUGGGGACCCGAGCUUAGCAAAGCUUUGAGCUAAGAACGGAAUUAAUGAAGCUACUGAAACUAGAAGCCUGUUUAUGGGCGUCUAGUAGAGGGAAUGUUAAAUCAUAAAAUACACUCGUAGAAAGCUAAAUGGGACGAUCUUCGGACAGGGGUUCGACUCCCCUCGCCUCCACCA
rnacentral:tmRNA from 1 species